GGUGGCUUAGUGGUAGAGUGCUUGCCUUGCAUGCAUGAAGCCCUGGGUUCAAUUCCUCAGCACCA
rfam:Dipodomys ordii contig_37767, whole genome shotgun sequence.